GGUUCGAUUAUGGCUCAGAUUGAACGCUGGCGGGAUGCUUUGGCACAUGCAAGUCGAACGGCAGCACGGACUUCGGUCUGGUGGCGAGUGGCGAACGGGUGAGUAAUGUAUCGGAACGUGCCUAGUAGCGGGGGAUAACUACGCGAAAGCGUAGGCCAAUACCGCAUACGCCCUUCGGGGAAAGCGGGGACCUUUCGCCUCGCACUAUUAGAGCGGCCGAUAUCGGAUUAGCUAGUUGGUGGGGUAACGGCUCACCAAGGCGACGAUCCGUAGCUGGUUUGAGAGGACGACCAGCCACACUGGGACUGAGACACGGCCCAGACUCCUACGGGAGGCAGCAGUGGGGAAUUUUGGACAAUGGGGGAAACCCUGAUCCAGCCAUCCCGCGUGUGCGAUGAAGGCCUUCGGGUUGUAAAGCACUUUUGGCAGGAAAGAAACGGCACGGAUAAUACCCCGUGCAACUGACGGUACCUGCAGAAUAAGCACCGCUAACCACGUGCCAGCAGCCGCGGUAAUACGUAGGGUGCAAGCGUUAAUCGGAAUUACUGGGCGUAAAGUGCGGCAGGCGGUUCGGAAAGAAAGAUGUGAAAUCCCAGAGCUUAACUUUGGAACUGCAUUUUUAACUACCGAGCUAGAGUGUGUCAGAGGGAGGUGGGAAUUCCGCGUGUAGCAGUGAAAUGCGUAGAUAUGCGGAGGAACACCGAUGGCGAAGGCAGCUUCCUGGGAUAACACUGACGCUCAUGCACGAAAGCGUGGGGAGCAAACAGGAUUAGAUACCCUGGUAGUCCACGCCCUAAACGAUGUCAACUAGCUGUUGGGGCCUUCGGGCUCCUGGUAGCGCAGCUAACGCGUGAAGUUGACCGCCUGGGGAGUACGGUCGCAAGAUUAAACCAAAGGAAUUGACGGGGACCCGCACAAGCGGUGGAUGAUGUGGAUUAAUUCGGGAUGCAACGCGAAAAACCUUACCUACCCUUGACAUGUCUGGAAUCCCGAAGAGAUUUGGGAGUGCUCGCAAGAGAACCGGAACACAGGUGCUGUAUGGCUGUCGUCAGCUCGUGUCGAGAUGCUGGGUUAAGUCCCGCAACGAGCGCAACCCUUGUCAUUAGUUGCUACGGAAAGGGCACUCUAAUGAGACUGCCGGUGACAAACCGGAGGAAGGUGGGGAUGACGUCAAGUCCUCAUGGCCCUUAUGGGUAGGGCUUCACACGUCAUACAAUGGUCGGGACAGAGGGUCGCCAACCUGCGAGGGGGAGCCAAUCCCAGAAACCCGAUCGUAGUCCGGAUCGCAGUCUGCAACUCGACUGCGUGAAGUCGGAAUCGCUAGUAAUCGCGGAUCAGCAUGUCGCGGUGAAUACGUUCCCGGGUCUUGUACACACCGCCCGUCACACCAUGGGAGUGGGUUUUACCAGAAGCAGUUAGCCUAACCGUAAGGAGGGCGAUUAACACGGUAGAUUCAUGACUGGGGUGAAGUCGUAACAAGGUAG
rnacentral:rRNA from 1 species